GACGAACGCUGGCGGCGUGCUUAACACAUGCCAGUCGAACGGAAAGGCCCUGCUUGCAGGGUACUCGAGUGGCGAACGGGUGAGUAACACGUGGGUGAUCUGCCCUGCACUUCGGGAUAAGCCUGGGAAACUGGGUCUAAUACCGGAUAUGACCUUCCAUGUAGUGUGGGGGGUGGAAAGAUUUAUCGGUGUGGGAUGAGCCCGCGGCCUAUCAGCUUGUUGGUGGGGUAAUGGCCUACCAAGGCGUCGACGGGUAGCCGGCCUGAGAGGGUGGACGGCCACAUUGGGACUGAGAUACGGCCCAGACUCCUACGGGAGGCAGCAGUGGGGAAUAUUGCACAAUGGGCGGAAGCCUUAUGCAGCGACGCCGCGUGGGGGAUGACGGCCUUCGGGUUGUAAACCUCUUUCGACAGGGACGAAGCUUCGGUGACGGUACCUGUAGAAGAAGCACCGGCUAACUACGUG
rnacentral:rRNA from 1 species